rnacentral:rRNA from 1 species
AUUGAACGCUGGCGGCAGGCCUAACACAUGCAAGUCGAACGGUAACAGGCAGCAGCUUGCUGCUUCGCUGAUGAGUGACGGACGGGUGAGUAAUGUCUGGGAAGCUGCCUGAUGGAGGGGGAUAACUACUGGAAACGGUAGCUAAUACCGCAUAAUGUCGCAAGACCAAAGAGGGGGACCUUCGUGCCUCUGUCCGUCAGGGGUGCCCAGAUGGGAUUCGCUUGUUGGUGGGGUAACGGCUCACCAGGGCGACGAUCCCUAGCUGGUCUGAGGGGAUGACCAGCGGCACUGGGAGUGAGACACCGACCAGGCGACUACGGGAGGCCGCAGUGGGGAAUAGUGCACAGUGGGGGCAAACCUGAUGCAGCCAGGCCGAGUGUAUGACGAAGGCCUUGCGGUUGUAAAGUAGUUUCAGCGGGGGGAAAGCGAGUAAAGUUAAUACCUUGGCUCAUUGACGUUAACCGCAGAAGAAGCACCGGCUAACUCCGUG